rnacentral:rRNA from 1 species
AGGACGAACGCUGGCGGCGUGCUUAACACAUGCAAGUCGAGCGGGCGUAGCAAUACGUCAGCGGCAGACGGGUGAGUAACGCGUGGGAACGUACCUUUUGGUUCGGAACAACACAGGGAAACUUGUGCUAAUACCGGAUAAGCCCUUACGGGGAAAGAUUUAUCGCCGAAAGAUCGGCCCGCGUCUGAUUAGCUAGUUGGUGAGGUAACGGCUCACCAAGGCGACGAUCAGUAGCUGGUCUGAGAGGAUGAUCAGCCACAUUGGGACUGAGACACGGCCCAAACUCCUACGGGAGGCAGCAGUGGGGAAUAUGGACAAUGGGCGCAAGCCUGAUCCAGCCAUGCCGCGUGAGUGAUGAAGGCCCUAGGGUUGUAAAGCUCUUUUGUGCGGGAAGAUAAUGACGGUACCGCAAGAAUAAGCCCGGCUAACUUCGCGCCAGCAGCCGC